rnacentral:rRNA from 1 species
UACGUAGGGUGCAAGCGUUAAUCGGAAUUACUGGGCGUAAAGCGUGCGCAGGCGGUUAUGCAAGACAGAUGUGAAAUCCCCGGGCUCAACCUGGGAACUGCAUUUGUGACUGCAUGGCUAGAGUACGGUAGAGGGGGAUGGAAUUCCGCGUGUAGCAGUGAGAUGCGUAGAUAUGCGGAGGAACACCGAUGGCGAAGGCAAUCCCCUGGGCCAAUACUGACGCUCAUGCACGAAAGCGUGGGGAGCAAACAGG